CUGGCAAAGAACCAAUGUGAAAAAGAAGAAAAACUGUGCAAGAAAAAAAAUACUGAGACGUGAGUAAUCACAUAGGAGAUUGGCAAGCAUUCCACCUCAAUAUGUGGCUGCUCUUCAAAGCCUGAUUGAAAUCAAGAGCUUGUCAUGUCAGCAGGAUGGCAGAGAUCCUCUGUUCAACACUAUCAGGUGGCUGGGACAGCACGGUGACGUGCUCCUGUCCUUAGAGCUCACCGCAUUUCGAUACAUCCAGGUUCGGCCUGAAGUCGGGCACCUUCGGGAUGCAGCCUUGCGUGGCCCUUGUGGACACGAGUUCUUGCUAGUGUCACGAACUGAAGCACAGUGGGAGCCCGAGCACUGGGGCAGCAAGAGCAGCUGCUGGAGGUCUCUGCGCUCGGGCAAUCACAAUCUCUCUCGUCCUCAAUGGAUUUGGCAAAUUUGACCCUCAGGAAAGCAGGUAUAGCACCUCGAAGCGGACGAAGGUCGGCCAUCGGCAGAAGAGAGAGCACUAGGGUGGACUUCAAGCCAGAUUAAAGUGUUGAGGCUGGAGAGCAGGAAAAGAACUGGUGUUCAGCCCCACUACCCUGUGCCAGCCAAGAUCCCCCAAGAGAGCUCUUUCCUGACUGCCCAUGUUUGACCCGUCUCCUUGCCACUCCCACUGGGUUGGAGGUGAAGGAGUCUGGGUCCCUCACCACCAGGUUCAGGAACAGUUGUUGCCCAACAGCUACUGGGACCCUGGACUGGUGUGGGUGACUUCACUCAACCCAGUGCUGAGCUGCCUCCACAGCCCAAAGGUUCAGGGACUGCCUUUGUCAUGUAUGCUUUUUAUGGAAUCUAUUAUACUUCUUUAU